GGGAUCAUAUUAAUCGUUUGUGUUACAACAUAUUGUUUGCUAUGGUUCCUCAGAUAAAUUUACCUAAAUUUUUUAUUUAGUUACAACCAGCUAAAACAACUUCCUUGCUGGUGCUAUCGAAGAAGAUAUCAAAUCAUCUUUUUUAUUAUAAUACACACAUCAUUUUAGCAAUGGUCAGCAGUGAACAUAUAUGUGGAAGCCAUGCCUCAGGUUUGCAAUACUCAUCUGUAACUGGAGGAUUGAAAUCAGUUUAAAGCUAAGCCACAUGUGAGUUGGAAAAGUGAAAGGAUUGUUCUAUUUUGUGACUGUUGGAUCUUCUAUAGGUUUAUUUUCAUGUAUAGCUGAGAUAGAAAAUAUUUCUCCUUAAAGGCCUCAUUUUUCAAUACACAGUCUGCCAAGACAUAUGUUCAUAGGAAAGAGGAUGCGAGUAUUAGCAUGAGAGAGUAAGGAGGGAACUGGAUGAUACAGGUCAGUUGCAAGGUUUGGUUUUUUCCCUGCAGCUUCCUAGCAAGUGCAAGAUUCCAGGAAGUUUGAUUAGGUAGCAUUAAUGGUGUGAAAUAAUUGAAUCUGAUGGUACAUGCCAAUAGCAACUGGAAGAUUUAAGUGAAGCUCAAAUCUUAGCCAUAUAGACUGUAGGCAGACCCAGAAAUAUCUUGAUUCUUUCUGGCUUAGGACAUUCUGUGAUCACUAAGCUGCAUAUGUUCCCGUUGCUCUGUUGGCUUAUAUGGUCAAGAAUGCCCAGAAGCCAGCAAGUUUGCAUCUCAGACCCUGGAGAUUUCAUUCUCCAGAGCAAUUAAAACCAAGAUAGUAACAGCUUGGUGCAUGCAGUUUGACAGAUCUCCAUCUUCUUCUGGGCAAGUUCUAGAGGAAACUGUACUACAUAAAAUUUCAUUUCCUUUGAUUCUUAGUCCAUAUGAACAAACUGAGUGGUAAUGACAGGCAAAGACUUGGAUGACCAUGAUGAUCGAGUGUAAGAUCAUCACUGGUAGGACAAUGAAUUGUGGAGAACUUCCUGCAUAGGAGGCUUCCUGUGGUUUUCUUCAUCCUUGUUCCUUUUUUAUCCCCUUUUUCUUUUAUGUUAUUUUUUGUUACCCUUUGCUGUCACUCCUAUCACUGUUUUUCUUACAUUUUCUUUCUAAUUGUAUCUUUUUCUGUUGUACAUAUUAAUUUCAAACCUUAUAAAAGGCAUUCACAGGAUUUCUUUUUUUCUACUAUGGAAAUUGUCAUCCAUUUUUUGGCUUUUUGUUUCUUUGAGAAUAAGAGGUAACCCAACCAUGAGAGUUAAGUGUGUCAAUACUUGGUACCAUCUCCACAAGAUUUGGAACCUCUUCAAGAUGAAGAGAUUAACCCACCACUUCAACAAGACCUGAUUAAUUAACAAUUUUUUUGUCAGAAAUAUUACUUAAAUUGUUACUUUAUUUUCUAUUUAAACUCCAAGAAUCUUGCUUUCCUAUGCAAAAAUUAAGAUAUUGCUGAUCAAUUCCAGCUUAAAAGAGAAACACAUGCUGAGUGUGGAUGGAUCAGAAAUGACUUCAAUGGAUUUAAGUCGUAAAAUGCUUUGUGAAUAAGCUGAAUUGUUCGGUGUUUCGCGCAAACGAAAACCGAAUAAUGCAAAGCCAAAAACUGUACCUGGGAUCAGAAAACUAAGGCUUUGCUUUUUCGAUCAGGAUAAUUAAUUAUGUCAUGGUCAUUCAUUCCAUGACACUAGAAUAAUUUAUUUGGUCUUGCUUGAUUGAUCAUCAAUGGCGAUGUUCUUAUUUAGAACUGUGUUUAACCUCAUCUAUUCAUUUAGAACUGUGUUUAAUCUGCUAUGCAAUUAAGUAUGGACUGAUUAAUUAGGUACCAGAAAGAAAAAAGUGAAUUUUCUGAAACAAACACUUUCAUCUUUUCCAUUGAGAUCAUAUUAACUACAAAGCUGAUGAUAUGUGCCAGAGCAAGUCAGGAUCACAGUCUUUAUCCCAUCCCAUAUCUCAUAAUCAAGUCUGUGCUAAGGAAUGAUGAUUUCCUUGGCUAAGUUUGAAUAGAUAUGCUGCUGAAAUGUACACUUGGGAGGAAAGAGGCAAAAGGUUGUGAGGUGUUGCUCAAUGCUUCUUCUGUGCUCAUGAAGUCAAAUAGUGCUUCAAUUCUAGUUCAUUAGAACAGGAGCAUGAUCGCUUGCGUCGGAGAAGCAGAGAUGACAGCUAAAGCCUAGAACGGUUCCUAAAGCUUCAAGUUGAGAUCAAUGCCGUCCGCUGCUUCUCCUCUCCUCUCGCUCGG